rnacentral:rRNA from 1 species
AUACGUAGGUGGCGAGCGUUGUCCGGAAUUACUGGGUGUAAAGGGCGUGUAGGCGGGGCGGCAAGUCAGAUGUGAAAUACCUCGGCUUAACUGAGGUGCUGCAACUGAAACUGUCGUUCUUGAGUGUCGGAGAGGAAAGUGGAAUUCCCAGUGUAGCGGUGAAAUGCGUAGAGAUUGGGAGGAACACCAGUGGCGAAGGCGGCUUUCUGGCCGAUAACUGACGCUGAGGCGCGAAAGCAUGGGGAGCAAACAGGAUUAGAUACCCUGGUAGUCCAUGCUGUAAACGAUGGAUACUAGGUGUAGGAGGUAUCGACCCCUUCUGUGCCGGAGUUAACACAAUAAGUAUCCCACCUGGGGAGUACGGCCGCAAGGUUGAA